rnacentral:rRNA from 1 species
CCUACGGGUGGCAGCAGUGAGGAAUAUUGGUCAAUGGGCGGAAGCCUGAACCAGCCAAGUCGCGUGAGGGAAUAAGGCCCUACGGGUCGUAAACCUCUUUUGCCGGGGAUCAAGGGCCGGGACGAGUCCCGGUCCGGAGAGUACCCGGAGAAAAAGCAUCGGCUAACUCCGGGCCAGCAGCCGCGGUAAUACGGAGGCUGCGAGCUUUAUCCGGAUUUAUUGGGUUUAAGGGGUGCGUAGGCGGGCUUUUAAGUAAGCGGGAAAAAUUCGGGGCUCAACCCCGUCCGGCCGUUGAAACUGGGGGCCGUGAGUGGGCGAGAAGAAGGCGGAAUGCGUGGUGUAGCGGUGAAAUGCAUAGAUAUCACGCAGAACCCCGAUUGCGAAGGCAGCCCUCCGGCGCCCUACUGACGCUGAGGCACGAAAGUGCGGGGAUCGAACAGGAUUAGAUACCCUUGUAGUC